GAUGAACGCUGGCGGCGUGCCUAAUACAUGCAAGUCGAGCGAACAGACGAGGAGCUUGCUCCUCUGACGUUAGCGGCGGACGGGUGAGUCACACGUGGAUAACCUACCUAUAAGACUGGGAUAACUUCGAGAAACCGGAGCUAAUACCGGAUAAUAUAUUGAACCGCAUGGUUCAAUAGUGAAAGACGGUUUUGCUGUCACUUAUAGCUGGAUCCGCGCCGCAUUAGCUAGUUGGUAAGUUAAUGGCUUACCAAGGCGACGAUGCGUAGCCGACCUGAGAGGGUGAUAGGCCACCUGGGAAGUGGAACACGGUCCAGACUCCUAAGGGAGGCAGCAGUAGGGAACCGUCCGCAAUGGGCGAAAGCCUGACGGAGCAACGCCGAGUGAGUGAUGAAGGUCUUCGGAUCGUAAAACUCUGUUAUUAGGGAAGAACAAAUGUGUAAGGAACUAUGCACGGCUUGACGGUACCUAAUCAGAAAGCCACGGCUAACUACGUG
rnacentral:rRNA from 1 species